rnacentral:rRNA from 1 species
UACGAAGGGGGCUAGCGUUGCUCGGAAUCACUGGGCGUAAAGCGCACGUAGGCGGCUUUUUAAGUCAGAGGUGAAAUCCUGGAGCUCAACUCCAGAACUGCCUUUGAUACUGAGAGGCUUGAGUCCGGGAGAGGUGAGUGGAACUGCGAGUGUAGAGGUGAAAUUCGUAGAUAUUCGCAAGAACACCAGUGGCGAAGGCGGCUCACUGGCCCGGUACUGACGCUGAGGUGCGAAAGCGUGGGGAGCAACAGG